rnacentral:rRNA from 1 species
UGGGGGAAUAUUGCACAAUGGGGGAAACCCUGAUGCAGCGACGCCGCGUGAGUGAAGAAGUAUUUCGGUAUGUAAAGCUCUAUCAGCAGGGAAGAAAGUGACGGUACCUGACUAAGAAGCUCCGGCUAAAUACGUGCCAGCAGCCGCGGUAAUACGUAUGGAGCAAGCGUUAUCCGGAUUUACUGGGUGUAAAGGGUGCGCAGACGGUAAGGCAAGUCAGAUGUGAAAACCCGGGGCUUAACCCCGGGAGUGCAUUUGAAACUAGUCGUACUGGAGUGCGGGAGAGGCAGGCGGAAUUCCUAGUGUAGCGGUGAAAUGCGUAGAUAUUAGGAGGAACACCGGUGGCGAAGGCGGCCUGCUGGACCGUAACUGACGUUGAGGCACGAAAGCGUGGGGAGCAAACAGGAUUAGAUACCCUGGUAGU